rnacentral:rRNA from 1 species
GACGAACACUGGCGGCGUGCUUAACACAUGCAAGUCGAGCGAGCAGAUUCCCUUCGGGGAUGAAGCUAGCGGCGGACGGGUGAGUAACACGUGGGCGACCUGCCUUAUAGAGGGGGAUAGCCUUCCGAAAGGAAGAUUAAUACCGCAUAACAUCAGAUUAUCGCAUGGUAGACUGAUCAAAGGAGCAAUCCGCUAUAAGAUGGGCCCGCGUCGCAUUAGCUAGUUGGUGAGGUAACGGCUCACCAAGGCGACGAUGCGUAGCCGACCUGAGAGGGUGAUCGGCAACAUUGGGACUGAGACACGGCCCAGACUCCUACGGGAGGCAGCAGUGGGGAAUAUUGCACAAUGGGGGAAACCCUGAUGCAGCAACGCCGCGUGAGUGAUGAAGGCCUUCGGGUUGUAAAGCUCUUUGAUCAGGGACGAUAAUGACGGUACCUGAAGAACAAGCCACGGCUAACUACGUGCCAGCAGCCGCGGUAAGAC